rnacentral:rRNA from 1 species
UACGUAGGGUCCGAGCGUUGUCCGGAGUUACUGGGCGUAAAGGGCGCGUAGGCGGCCUGUUAAGUCGAACGUGAAAUCCCCGGGCUCAACCCGGGAACUGCGUCCGAUACUGGCAGGCUUGAAUCCGGGAGAGGGAUGCGGAAUUCCAGGUGUAGCGGUGAAAUGCGUAGAUAUCUGGAGGAAUACCGGUGGCGAAGGCGGGUCUCUGGGCCGAUACUGACGCUGAGGAGCGAAAGCGUGGGGAGCGAACAGG